AAAAUAUGUAUUUAUUAUAUUAAUUUUUAUGUAAACUGAAUUUUAAUUAAUAUAAAUAGAUUUUGCUCUUUUUGUUAAUGAAAAUAUUUAUAUAUUUAUAAUUAUUUCCUGAAAGGUUCAUAUGAAGUCUUCCUUACAUAAAUGGUUUUAUAAUAAAUGUGAAAAGUUAACUGUUCAUUGAGUUAGAAAAUAAUUAUUUAAAGCUUAAAAAUUGUCAUAUUUAUGGUUUCAGUAGGACUAUUUGUAAAAGUGAUCCUAAUCUUUCCAGACAGGCUUUAUGUCAUGUGUCUUCUGUAACACUCUAGUGGGUAAAUAAAUAAUUGUAUCUGCAACACUGCUUAAUAUAUAAGGUCAUAGGUCAUAAAUAAAAUAUCUUACCUAAUAAGAAAAUCACAUUAAUGAUGAUCGAGUUAAGGGAAAAAAACUUAUUCUCUAGAAUUAUAUAGAUGGAAAUGUUAUUUUUUAUCAUUAAUAAUAAAAAACUGUGUAUCUAUAUAUGUAUGCGAUCGCUGUUUUGUUUCGUAGAUCUGGAAGAUAUUCGGUCUCAUUUAUGCACGUUUGUAAUAUUGAUGUUAUAUGUUCAUUCAUUCUUAGUUAAUCGAUACUCAGUGUUUUUCUCCCUCUUAAUUUUCUCGUUGUUGCUAUCAGUUUGUAAUUUAUGUAUGUGCUCAUUAACUUUGUUGGCAUUUGUUUAUAUUUUGAUUUUUCUCUGUAUUUUCGGAGCUUCUGCAUAUCAUUUUUCGAGCUGUUUCGAUCUUCGUUUAUGCUGUAUUAUUAUUAUCAUCAUCAUCGUCGUGUAUUUUUAUGUUGUUUUAAUUUUCGGAAGAAUUUUUAUAUCUUUCUUUUUUAUCUAAGCGGUAAUCUAGAAACCAUCGAUAUCACGCUAAUUAAACACGAAAAAUGAUUGAUUAGCAUAGUUUCCAAAACGAAAACAGACCGUUUGACGUAGUUAACGUUUCUGAUAAUGUGUGAAAAAAGAAAAAUAAGCGAAGAAAAUCGGCGUUAUAAUUAUCUGACAUAACCGUUAUUUUAUUCGCGAGACAACAGUAGAUAUAAGUAUAUAUUAAAAAGAAUAAAAAAUAAAACUACUCCCGCUUAAAGAACUAUCAACAAAAGAUAUAAAAGGGGGAAUAGUUUGUCUUCUGGAGAUAAUAAUUAGUUAUUGCGUCUUACACAAAGUCCUUCUGCUAGUUUGAGAUAAGAUUGUGGUCAGAGAUAUCAGCUUUUCAAAGUCCAAAGAUAAACUCUCAGACCAACCAGAAAUCGUGAACCUGCUCUACCGGAAACAAUAGGAUAAGACACUAACCGCUCCUGAUACUGUACUGCCAUAUGGUUCGACGGUCUCCCACAAAGUUGCUUCAUUACGUAUUCCUGCAGCACAUUUCUGUUCGUUGCCUAUAAAAUCUGCUUGAUAUUUCGUAGUUUUAUGUCAGCAGACGUCGUUAAGUGCAUACCCAGCUUCAAAGAUUUGUUAAUGUCGAGUCGACACUUGGUUGCUACAAUCGACUAUACCCGAUGGUUUUAUUUUUUUUCUUUCUAUCAGCAAUUAAAUUUUGCUUAUCUGGGAUGGACCGGCCUGGUGUUUCGAUUGUCCGGCCUGUCAACCGGUGACUGUACGUUAUCACGUGAUCCAGAUAGCGCAGUAGUGUAAGUUUAAUCGUAUUAGUGGUGUUUUCCCAAGAAGCAGCCAUCCAUCCAUCACUUAACAAAAGAUUAUAUUAAGAUAUAAGAUUACUCUACUCUUAAUUACAUUUCGCAGUCGGAAGACCCGCUUUAAGCUUGUUAUACUUUGCCGAAUUUAUCACGAAUCCGACUAUAUUAAAGCACUCACUUUCUCUUCUCUCUCUCUUCUCUUCUAGCUAGGAUAGUAUACAAACAUUUUAAGAUAAGAAUCUUAUUUAUUGUCUAACAUUAUUUAUAGACUCGUCCUAUCUUUUCCCACACUUGACAUUUUUUGGUAAAGUUACGACAUUUAAGAAGUGUUAUUAUCGUUUUGGGAUUGAUCGAAUUCGCCAAAAACCAUACAAGAACCGGAAAAACAACGUAAAGACCGAACAAAAUCAAAGGGAAAAUAUAUAAAUAUAUAGGCCUAUAUAUAGAUGGAUAUUGAACGAAAAUAUUCCUUAAGAAUUAAUGCUUAAGAUGAGAGGUAUUUCCUGUUGACACGUUUUCAAUUUGUCCAAAAAAAUAUUCGAUUGGCAUAUUUUCUAUUUACCACGAAUUCCCACUCGACUGAAUGGGAGAGUGACAGGUAAUCACGUGACGCUAUCUGACAUCGCAUGCUCACUUUCAUUACUAUGGUAGCACAGCAGUCACGUGAUGUUCCUCGGCUUGACACAGACGUCAGUUUAUCUUGUCAAGUCGGAAUUGUAUGUCGGUGAGGAUGUUUGGUGACACAAUGACCAUUAAGUUGUUAAAGGAGAUUAGCCUGAUGCUAAGAGAGAUAAAUUACACCCAAUUUUCUUUUCUAUUAUAUAAAUAUAUAUAUACAUACAUAAACUUAC
rnacentral:lncRNA from 1 species